CCAAUAGCGUAUAUUAAAGUUGUUGCAGUUAAAAAGCUCGUAGUUGAAUUUUAGGCCUGGCCGGGCGGUCCGUCUUUGGCGAGUACUGUCCUGUGUCGGGUCCACCUUCUGGUGAACCAGUAUGUCCUUUAUUGGGUGUGCCGGGGAGCCAGGACCAUUACCUUGAAAAAAUUAGAGUGUUUAAAGCGGGCAUUUGCUUGAAUAGAUUAGCAUGGAAUAAUAGAAUAGGACGUUGUGGUUCUAUUUUGUUGGUUUCUAGGACCACCGUAAUGAUUAAUAGGGAUAGUUGGGGGCAUUAGUAUUCAAUUGUCAGAGGUGAAAUUCUUGGAUUUAUUGAAGACUAACUACUGCGAAAGCAUUUGCCAAGGAUGUUUUCAUUAAUCAAGAACGAAAGUUAGGGGAUCGAAGACGAUCAGAUACCGUCGUAGUCUUAACCAUAAACUAUGCCGACUAGGAAUCGGGCGACGUUAUUUUCAUGACUCGCUCGGCGCCUUAUG
rnacentral:rRNA from 1 species